AAAAAUCCCUAAAAUUCCUGGCAAAAUCUGAGGUUAAGAGAAGAUGAGAAACACUGUUCAGAGAAUCUGGAGGAGAGAGAUUCCUUUGUAUUAAAGCGAAAUAGACAGUUCCACGAUCACCUCACGUGCCUCACGCAGGUGCUGGCACUGGGGUCCCGGGAGAUGAGUCAGCAGAACAGGAAAUUCUCCCUGCACAAGCCCUUCGGAUCCCGUGGGCUGGGUGUGUGUAGCAUC